GCUCCAGGCCGGGAGCUCACGCCUAUAAUCCCGCACUUUGGGAGGCCGAGGCAGACAGAACACCUGAGGUCAGAAGUUCAAAACCAGCCUGGCUAAAAUGGCAAAACCCCGUCUCUACUGAAAAUACAAAAAUUAGCCAGGCAUGGUGGCACACGUCUGUGCUCUCAGCUAUUUGGGAGGCUGAGGCAGGAGAAUCGCAUGAACCCAGGAGGUGGAGGUUGCAGUGAGCUUACAUGGUGCCACUGCACCCAAGCCUGGGUGACACAGUGAGACUCUAUCUGAAAAAAAGAAAAAAAGAAAGAGAACACUGCUCUGUCCUGAGACAUUUUCCCAUAAUCUUCUGAAUAUUAUGAGAUUCCUAUUUUUUCUUCCUGGUGGCUUGAAAUGGCAUGCUCUGUCAACAUAUUCUUUUCACAGAAUCUGAUUUUAUUUCAUUUUUCUUUGUGUCUGCAAACAGAAUAUGGUUUUAAUCUCCCACAGGACUUGUAAUUAUCAUCUUAAGCUUCUAUGUAACCAUACUAUUGCAUCUCUAUAUCAUGUCAAGUAACCAGUUUGAUUCAUGUCUUAAUGGAAAUUGUUUAGGUAUCAUGUAGUCAAAUUUACAGAAUAUAUUAGUGCUUUGGGGGCAUAGGUUUUAGAAUCUCUAGAAUGAAUGCUCUAUUCCUUAAGUGGAAUGAGAAAACUAUUGGUCAGCCACCAAAUAGAACUCAUUUCUUCCACUUUUCUCUUAUUUCCAUUAUUCCAUCUCCAUAUUCCAAAUCGCCAUUAUUUCUUGUCUUCUUAUAAUCAAUUUUCCACCCUGCUUAAGACAUCCAAUGCCUUCCUGAUGCUCUUAGAAAAGAAUCCAAAUGCCUGUCCAUGAGCUUUUAUUUUCUUCAGAGAACUUAUGUCUAGCUGUAAUUAUUUAUCUGCUCUCCUGUUUAUUUUCAGUCUUCCCUCCUGCCACUGUUCCUGCAGAUUUCAGCUCCAUGGGAGCAGGAAUCUUGUUUCCUCAUUGAACAUGAUGUUCUCAGCUCCUGGAAAAGUGCCCGUUACAGGGCAGAAGCUUUCAAAAGGCUUCAAGGCCAUCUUCAGGCAGGAUGUAAAGAUAGACGGGUGAGAAUCUGAUCACAGAACCGAACCAGUGUGGGGAUCAGUACUUGGCAUCAGCUGCUUUAAAUAAUAACCAAACUUUCCUAUGUGAAUUAAAUGCACACGCACUCAUCCAUAGCUAGGGAGGCCAUUUCAACCCCUGCAUCUAAAAGCAGACAGAUCCCCAUCCAGAGUGGAGCGUGUUCUUAUACAUGGUAAUGGCAAUACUCCAUCCUCUUUCACAUUGUAAAGAUUCUGAAGCUCUUGAGCACGGUCGCUUUACUGGAAGAAAUGAAAAGCUGAAAUGGAUAGGACUUGCCAAGAAUCACGAAGACACUUUCAAUAGAAAGAACCUAACACUGAGCACAGUUCACAAAACCCAAUUAUGAACAAUUGGUCGUGCUGAAUGAGGUCAGCUGCACCACGGUCUGAUGAGAUGAGUAGGUCAUUAGAUUAUCUAGUUGCUCAAAUAAAGGCAUCGGGUGAAAAGUUGCCAUAACAGGUAUUCUUAGCAUGUAUUGUUGUGCAUUCUAUUGUUGAAUAACACGUUGAAAAUUUGUAUUUGGUGGUUUAUUUUUCUGUUCCUCCAUAUACACUUAUAUAAAUUAUUUAACCCAUACCCAGGACGAUUCCAUUAAUACCAUAAUGAGAUAUGAAUGUCAGUGGAUGUGUUCCUUUGUUUAUCCCUGUGUCUGGCUGUGUAACCUACUUAUUUACAUGGUAGUUCUCAAUAGCACUUGUACUGCUAUCAUUUCAUUCAUCUCAAGUACGAUGUUAUCCAAAUAAAAAUGAAUCUCCACAGGCAUCAGUUUGGGAUGGUUGCCUUUGAAAUAUAAUAGUAAACUGGCCAUCUCAGCAUCUGUGGAGCUUAGCUCAUUCCAUCACUUUCCAGAAUUAUAAUUCCCCGCUUGGAGUCUCAGAAAUGUAGUGAUGGGAGAAAACGGCUAUGAGAAAAGAGAUGACUGAUCAGAGAAUUCAGAGUGCUGGAAGAUGAAUUUUUAUGUAUUUGCACCUUUUCUUUUCCCUAGACAGGUGUAUUUUGCAGAAAAGUCAUGUUUUUAAAAAGUUGCCUAUAUGAAUUUCUUUGUAGCAAAUCACAGUAGUCUAUUUACUUCUAUAAAAUUGAAUGUAUGUUUUUCAGGUGGAAAAUACUGAUCGCCACAUAUUAAAACUCAUACAUGUAUCACAAUUGCAUUUUAAGAGCAAAAAUCCCAACUUUUUAAAUAAAACAUGAGGAAUAAACCCAAUAAAUAAAUUACAGAAUAGAAACACAAGGAAGUUUCAGUCAUUUUUGCAUUUGGAAGAAGAAGCCUGAAAUUUUAAAAGAAAAAUAACAACACUAUUUUACUGAACAGAACAUGCCAGGGGCCAGAACUGUCUUAUGAAAGACAUUUUUCAUUUUUAACCAGAGUAUGCCUGCGUGUACAAGAUGACAAAAUAAUCAAGUGAAGAGUGAAUAAUUCUGCUCAUCAACAGGUUGUUUCGUGUUAAACUGAUGCAAUACCAACCAGUUGGUUUGGCUAUUUCCCCCUUUGGAAUAUUUGUCUAAACAAAUACUCUUAAAGGAAGAAAGCAGCUGAACUUCAGUAAAAUAAGCCCUCAACUUAGAGUCCAAAACCUAUGGCUGUAUCUGGCCUUGUUUCUCUGAGAAGAUUACUUGAGAUUUCUGAAUCUCCAUUUCCUGAUCUAGAAAUGAAGGCCACUUUUGGUUUGUGAGGGUAAAGUGAGA
ensembl:lncRNA